ACCUUCCGAUUCAUGAAACAAGGGGUCUGAUGGGGAUGUAAUCGAUGCAGAUUUCUCCGACAGCCAAUGAAAAUAGGUUCCUACAA